AGAAGCAGAUCAGAAAUCGAACACGUUUGCUUUUGCGAUUCGAGAGCCCUUUCUGGCGCGGAGCUAGGGGCGGUGUUACGUAGCUGCCCUGAACUGAGAGCAGCGUUGGCCGGGGGCUAGGGAGCCGGGCUGUUCCACGCUCACUGUGCGCCUCGGGCGGCGGGGCUCGGGCUCUGUCCGAGGUGCUGAACUCCGGGGCUCCGGCCGCGCCGGCAGAGUGUGCCAGCGUCCAUUAUUGCCAGUGUCUGUGGGCAUCUUCCAGAAGGCCGAGCAUGGGGGUCAGGUGAAACCAGGGCGGUAAGUGCUUCUCCCAUCAUUUCUCAGAAAUGCUUAGGUGCCUACUUUUUACAAUUUCGUGCACAUUUUCAGGAUCAUAACCUCUCACCGCCAGUUCCUCACAGGUUUCUGCAAAAACUGACGACCUUUCUUCCCCUUCAGUCCCUGCAAAAAUCCAGACACCUAUCACCCAGCCCCGCUCCGCAACCAUUUCCUACAAGAAUCCAGGCCCCUACGCAUCUCAUCCCCACGCGUCAAUGCAAAAAUAAAAAAUGUUAAAUCCGCCUUCCAUUCCCGUCUCCCACAAUUUCCUGUGAUAAAAGCAAGCUGUCUCCUACCAGUUCCCCACUCCUGCCUGUGGCUAAACAGCAUGGACCGACUUCUCGGGAGCUCGAGGUCCCCACCCGGGUGACCAAUGCAGACCCCUGGGGGUGCGCUUACCUGGUGGGGACAAUCGCCGAGCGAGGCCACCUGGGUCCAGGCUAUAGGUAGUGUCAUUAUUAUUCCCAAAACAAAAUCAGG
rnacentral:lncRNA from 1 species